rnacentral:rRNA from 1 species
UACGUAGGGUGCAAGCGUUAAUCGGAAUUACUGGGCGUAAGGCGUGCGCAGGCGGUUGUGCAAGCCAGAUGUGAAAUCCCCGGGCUUAACCUGGGAACUGCAUUUGUGACUGCACAGCUCGAGUACGGCAGAGGGGGAUGGAAUUCCGCGUGUAGCAGUGAAAUGCGUAGAUAUGCGGAGGAACACCGAUGGCGAAGGCAAUCCCCUGGGCCUGUACUGACGCUAAUGCACGAAAGCGUGGGGAGCAAACAGG